rnacentral:rRNA from 1 species
CAGCCGCCGCGGUAAUACGUAGGGUGCGAGCGUUAAUCGGAUUUACUGGGCGUAAAGCGUGCGCAGGCGGCCCGUUAAGACAGGUGUGAAAUCCCUGGGCUCAACCUAGGAAUUGCGCUUGUGACUGGCGGGCUCGAGUACGGUAGAGGGGGGUGGAAUUCCUGGUGUAGCAGUGAAAUGCGUAGAGAUCAGGAGGAACACCGAUGGCGAAGGCAGCCCCCUGGGCCUGUACUGACGCUCAUGCACGAAAGCGUGGGGAGCAAACAGGAUUAGAUACCCUGGUAGUCCACGCCCUAAACGAUGGGUACUAGCCGUUUGGUGCGCGAUAGCGCUGAGUGGCGAAGCUAACGCGUGAAGUACCCCGCCUGGGGAGUACGGCCGCAAGGUUGAAACUUAAAGGGAUUGGCGGG